UUAAUUGAAGAGUUUGAUCAUGGCUCAGAUUGAACGCUGGCGGCAGGCCUAACACAUGCAAGUCGAGCGGAAACGAGUUGUCUGAACCUUCGGGGAACGAUAACGGCGUCGAGCGGCGGACGGGUGAGUAAUGCCUGGGAAAUUGCCCUGAUGUGGGGGAUAACUAUUGGAAACGAUAGCUAAUACCGCAUAACGUCUACGGACCAAAGAGGGGGACCUUCGGGCCUCUCGCUUCAGGAUAUGCCCAGGUGGGAUUAGCUAGUUGGUGAGGUAAUGGCUCACCAAGGCGACGAUCCCUAGCUGGUCUGAGAGGAUGAUCAG
rnacentral:rRNA from 1 species